rnacentral:rRNA from 1 species
CAGUAGCCGCGGUAAUACGUAGGUGGCAAGCGUUGUCUGGAAUUAUUGGGCGUAAAGCGCGCGCAGGUGGUUUAAUAAGUCUGAUGUGAAAGCCCACGGCUCAACCGUGGAGGGUCAUUGGAAACUGCUAAACUUGAGUGCAGGAGAGAAAAGUGGAAUUCCUAGUGUAGCGGUGAAAUGCGUAGAGAUUAGGAGGAACACCAGUGGCGAAGGCGGCUUUUUGGCCUGUAACUGACACUGAGGCGCGAAAGCGUGGGGAGCAAACAGGAUUAGAUACCCCAGUAGUCCCUGUCUCUUAUAC